CCUACGGGAGGCAGCAGUGAGGAAUAUUGGUCAAUGGACGAGAGUCUGAACCAGCCAAGUAGCGUGAAGGAUGACUGCCCUAUGGGUUGUAAACUUCUUUUAUAUGGGAAUAAAACGUUCCACGUGUGUGAUUUUGUAUGUACCAUAUGAAUAAGGAUCGGCUAACUCCGUGCCAGCAGCCGCGGUAAUACGGAGGAUCCGAGCGUUAUCCGGAUUUAUUGGGUUUAAAGGGAGCGUAGGUGGAUUGUUAAGUCAGUUGUGAAAGUUUGCGGCUCAACCGUAAAAUUGCAGUUGAAACUGGCAGUCUUGAGUACAGUAGAGGUGGGCGGAAUUCGUGGUGUAGCGGUGAAAUGCUUAGAUAUCACGAAGAACUCCGAUUGCGAAGGCAGUUCACUGGACUGCAACUGACACUGAGGCUCGAAAGUGUGGGUAUCAAACAGGAUUAGAUACCCCAGUAGUC
rnacentral:rRNA from 1 species